rnacentral:lncRNA from 1 species
GGGCUGUACCUGUGGCAUGUGGAAGUCCCCAGGCUAGCAGUUGAAUUGGAGCUGUAACUGCCAGCCACAGCCAUAGCCACACAGAAUCCAAGCCACGCCUACAACCUACACCACAGCUCAUGGCAAUGCCAGAUCCUUAACUCACUGAGCAAGGCCAGGGAUCAAACCCGCAUCUUCAUGAAUACUAGUCAGACUCGUUUCCAUAAUGACUCAAAAAAAAAGGGCAGUGGAGGUUGGCUGGUGAGGAGGAUUAAAAGGUCUCAAAGAAAACAAAUUAGCCAAUGUCAACCUAUCACAUAUAUUCAGUGAACACUCUAUGUGGCGUAGUAACUGCAGUGGCCAAAGCAGGCGACACUGCUCUGUUCUAAUCCAUCCCAAAAGGCUCAGGCAAGGACUACUGUGGGUCUCAAAGAGGAAAAUCUUUGGUCGGCCUUUAUAAAAUAAUUAUAACUAAACAUUGUUCAAUGGUAGCUGGUGAAAUAAGUAGAAGAGGUGACCUAAUGGUUGAUCAUAGGGACCCCUUUACUCACUAUUUGAUCACUUGCCCAGCUUGCUUUUCCCUUGAUGAGAACUGCCAAGCAGGGCAGGCAGGACACCAGCUGACAACAAGCACAGGCUUUGCAACCAGAUUGACCUCAAGCUUGUCCUGACACAUUCACCUCAUUGCUCUGGGCCCUUGUGCAACCUCCUUAGCCCUUUUGUUUAAAAUUUUUGUUAUAGUUGAUUUGCAAUGUUCCUUCAAUUUCUGCUAUACAGCAAAGUGACCCAGUCAUACAUUUAUAUACAUUCUUUUUCUCACAUUAUCUUCCAUCAUGUUCUAUCACAAAAGACUGUAUACAGUUUCCUGUGCUAUAUACAGCAGGACCUCACUGCUUAUCCAUUCUAAAUACAAUGAUUUGCAUCUACUAAGCACAAACUCUCAAUCCAUCCUAUUCUCUCCCCCUCCCGCUUGGCAACCCCAAGUCAGUUCUCUACAUCUGUGAGUCUGUUUCUGUUCUGUAGAUAGGUUCAUCUGUGACAUAUUUUAGAUUCCACAUAUAAGUGACAUCACAUGGCAUUUGUCUUUCUCUUUCUGACUUACUUCACUUAGUAUGAUAAUCUUUAAUUGCAUCCAUUUUGCUGCAAAUGGUAUUAUUUUAUUUUUUAUGGCUGAGGAGUAUUCCAUUGUAGAUAUGAACCACAUCUUUUUAAUCCAUUCAUCUGUAGAUGGGCAUCUAGGUUGUUUCCACACAUUGGCUCUUGUGAAUAGUAAUGCUAUGAACAUAGGGGUGCAUGUAUCUUUUUGAACAAAAAUUUUGUCUGGAUAUAUGCCCAGGAAUAAGACUGCUAGAUUAUAACGUAGUUCCUUAGUUUUCUGAGGAAACUCUAUUCUGUUUUCCAAAGUGGUUGUACCAAUUACAUUCCCACCAACAGUGUAGGAGGGUUCCCUUUUCUCCACACCCUCUUUUUGUUAUUUGUAGACUUAUUAAUGAUGACCAUUCUGACUGGUAUGAGAGGGUACCUCAUUGGAGUUUUAAUUUCCAUUUACCUAAUAGUUAGUGAUGUUGAGCAUGUUUUUAUGUGACUAUUGGUCAUCCGUAUGUUUUCUUUGGAGAAGUGUCUGUUUAGGUCUUUUGCCCAUUUUUUAUCUUUUUUUUUUUCUAUUGAGCUGUAUGAGUUGUUGGUAUAUUUUGGAGAUUAAGCCCUUGCCUUUUGAAUCUCAAGAUCUUCAUCUGUAAAAUGAGGAUAAGAUAGGUUAAGGAUAGGCAAGUAGGUUAGUAUCAGUAGAAGAAUUAGAUAGGACAGCACAAGCAGAAUGCUUAGCCCAGAGCCCAACACAGAGAAAUAGUCUAGGGCCGUCAGCUCUAGUUAUUCCAAGUGGACACCAGAAUCCUUUAGAUCUCAGCCAACAGAGAAGCCACAACCCACCUCUACCAAACAGGUGAGAUCCCAUUUCUGUUGGCACCUAACACAACUUAGUAAUUGAGGAACUGAGUGCACUGUUUCAUGUCUGUUUUCCAAAUAGAGUGAAGGCUCAAGAUAUCCAAGGCCAGGGCACUGUUGGCCUCCUCAGCGCCACCACAGUGCCAGCACACGAUAAGGGGCAGAUGUAUUUGUUGAACAAAUAAGAGAGGGAGUAGAAAUCAAGAAGAAAGAGGGGGAAGGAGAGGGAGAGAAGGCAAGACACAGAACCUUUCCCUGUUCUCCCUCAGCCUCUCAGCACUGCUGCCCCUGACUGUUCAGAAAGGGAUGAUGGAGGGGGAUUAAGUGGCUGGUGAGGAAGGCACGUGUCUCUGUUCCCUGAAGAAACCUUUUGAGGGUCCAAGGUGUUCAGACCCUCCACCCAGCUGGGACCAACUUCCUUGGACUUCAUUUAGCAACAGUCACUUCCUUGGCAGUAACUAGCUCAAAAAAGGCAGACUCCUCAGGCCUGGGAAUGGGGGACUGAUUAAUUGGAAGUUCUGGCUGCCAAGGGCCAGGACCAAGGCAAAUCGUGGCAGGGUAACACUACCACUCAAGGGGACAUUGUCCAGAAGUUCAUUAAAUUCAAAUUCUCUCAUGAGCAGUAAUUUUUUUUUUUUUUUUUUUUUUUUUUUUUUUUACAAAUUUGGGCUUAGAAAUCUCAAUGGGAAGCUUUGGUUUUAGCAACCUGGGUUCAUAGCAAAUGUACAUUCGAGGGCAGAAAGCUGAAAUUUUGAAACUGAAAAAAACUCUGUAAAUGAACCAUAUUUUAAUUUAAAAAAAAUUUUAAAUGGAAAAAAAAACCCUCACAUCUAAAAAUUGCUUAAAGCACCAAAAUAAUUUUCAGCCAUUUUAACAUAAAUCUUUCCAAAAUAUAUUAAACGCCCCAAGCCAUGGUAAACAGAGUAGACAUGCCACACCUUUUCUUGGUGACCAGGGCCAUUGUGAACAGUGCUGGUGAUUGUGCCAACUUGUCGGCACAGGUAAUUAUUUCUCUAAGGGCCCAGACUUCUCAAGUGUUCUAACCUGUGGGAGUUCUGACUCUCUUUCUUGACACUUCCCUCUAGUGGCUAUAACUGACCUAUCAAACUGUUGCCUCUUACACCAAAAGGUACCCCCAAAGAGGUAUGUGUUCUACUUGAUAUUUCUUCUAUUUCUGCUAACUGUGGCUGCCUCUGUUUUCCUCUGCUGCUUCUCAAGUUGCUUUGUAAUUCUU